rnacentral:rRNA from 1 species
GACGAACGCUGGCGGCGUGCUUAACACAUGCAAGUCGAACGGUGAAGCGCCUUCCUUUUUGGUGGGUGUGGAUGAGUGGCGAACGGGUGAGUAACACGUGAGUAACCUGCCCCCUUCUUCUGGAUAACCGCAUGAAAGUGUGGCUAAUACGGGAUAUUCUGGGUCUGUCGCAUGAUGGGUCUGGGGAAGAUUUUGUUUCGGUGGGGGAUGGGCUCGCGGCCUAUCAGCUUGUUGGUGGGGUGAUGGCCUACCAAGGCGGUUAGGGGUAGCCGGCCUGAGAGGGUAGACGGUCACACUGGGACUGAGACACGUCCCAGACUCCUACGGGAGGCAGCAGUGGGGAAUAUUGCACAAUGGGCGCAAGCCUGAUGCAGCGACGCCGCGUGAGGGAUGGAGGCCUUCGGGUUGUGAACCUCUUUCGCCAGUGAAGCAGGCCUGCCUCGUUUGUGGGUGGGUUGACGGUAGCUGGAUAAGAAGCGCCGGCUAACUACGUG